GGUCAUCUCCUAGGAUGCAUUUUCUGUAAUUGUCUGGUUGCAAUUCAGGAUUUUCAUUGUGAGCCAACAGCUGCAGGCUCAUUUUAAAUGCUGGUUCUACAAAUCCUCUCAAAUAACAAUGCCUUAUAUUGACUUAGAUUUCAUAACAUGUCCUAGGUCACAUGGUUUUGUUUAAAACACUUAUUUUGUCUUUGAAACAGCCAAGUGCAAUUCGAUGUGGUAGAUGUUACUUUCAUUUUUUAGAUGAGAAAAUGUUCAGAAAGUAUAAGUGACUUGCCCAAGGUUCCCUGGAUAAUGAAUCAUGGCUUGUGUUCUGUUCCUCUCACCUCUUUGCACAGAGCUCUGACAUUCUUCUGUCAAGUCACCUUGCAAGUGUCAUGCUUUCUGGACUCGCUGCAGAUUAGAGUACCCAGAAUUAGCCAAGACCUUCAACAUUUAAUGACUAGCCACGGAGAGGAAAAAAGAAGAUGAACUGCUUGUCCCAGAAAGCGACAGAACUUUGAAAGCAGCUAUAUAUUUCCUAGCUACCUCUAAGAAAUGGAACUGUCUUCCUGAGACCUGUAAGAAGCCAACAGUUCUAGAUGCCAGAAUCCAAAAUCAAGGUGUCGGUAGAGUUGAUUCCUUCCUGGAGGUUUGGAGAAAGAGUCUGAACAUCCCUCUCUCUUGGCUUCUGGUGGUUGCUGGAAAUUCUUGGCAUUCCUUGGCUUGCAACUGCAUAGCUUCAACCUUUACAUCAGACGUUACCUGGCCAUCGUCCCUCUAUGCCUUUCCAUCUGUGGCUCUCUUCACGUCUUCUUAUAAGGACACCAAGAAAUACUGGAUUAAAACUACUCGGUAUGACCUCAGCUUAACAAACGACAUCUGCAAUGACCCUAUUUCCAAAUAAGUUCACAUUCUGAAGUUCUGGGAAUUUGGGGGUGUGGUGGGGGACACUAUUCAACCAAACAUUUCACCAACCCACAUACCCACAAAUGUUAACAAAAUCAGCAGGGCAGGAGAGUAAAGAAGUGAAACAAUGUACUUCCAAGGAAGAAGCAAAGAGAAGAAAAGUAUUGUUUUUCUAUUCUCUCUCCUGGGCUUAAUACAGGCACCAAAACUUGAAGUAGGACUGAAGCAGAACUAAUAUGAUAAAUAAUAUCAGAGGAAAAUGUAGGGGCUUUUAUUUAUUUAUUUUUUUG